AAAUGAAUAGACGGGGACCCGCACAAGCAGCGGAGCGUGUGGUUUAAUUCGAUGGUACACGAAGAACCUUACCCAGGUUUGACAUACUAGUGGUAGUGAACUGAAAGGGGAACGACCCGCAAGGGAGCUAGUACAGGUGUUGCAUGGCUGUCGUCAGCUCGUGUCGUGAGAUGUUGGUUUAAGUACCCUAACGAGCGCAACCCUUAUUGCCAGUUACACGUAUCUGGCGAGACUGCCGGCCACAAGCCGGAGGAAGGCGAGGAUGACGUCAAGUCAGCAUGGCCUUUAUAUCUGGGGCUACACACACGCUACAAUGGGCGUAACAAUGGGAUGCCAAGCCGUGAGGCGGAGCCAAUCCCCCAAAUACGUCCUCAGUUCAGAUUGCAGGCUGCAACCCGCCUGCAUGAAGUCGGAGUUGCUAGUAAACGCGCGUCAGCUAUAGUGCGUUGAAUACGUUCCCGGGUCUUGUACACACCGCCCGU
rnacentral:rRNA from 1 species